UACGUAGGGUGCGAGCGUUAAUCGGAAUUACUGGGCGUAAAGCGUGCGCAGGCGGUUUUGUAAGCCAGAUGUGAAAUCCCCGGGCUUAACCUGGGAAUGGCAUUUGGGACUGCAAGGCUUGAGUGCGGCAGAGGAGACUGGAAUUCCUGGUGUAGCAGUGAAAUGCGUAGAUAUCAGGAGGAACACCGAUGGCGAAGGCAGGUCUCUGGCUGACACUGGCGCUCAUGCA
rnacentral:rRNA from 1 species